rnacentral:rRNA from 1 species
CGGCAACAGCUCAAAUUUGAAAUCUGGCUUCUUUGAAGUCCGAGUUGUAAUUUGUAGAGGAUGUUUCGGCUCUGGCUCCGGUCUAAGUUCCUUGGAACAGGACGUCAUAGAGGGUGAGAAUCCCGUAUGUGAUUGGAAGUCAGUGGCCAUGUGAAACUCCUUCGAC